rnacentral:rRNA from 1 species
UACGUAGGGUGCGAGCGUUGUCCGGAAUCACUGGGCGUAAAGGGCGCGUAGGCGGCCCUGGUAAGUCUGCGGUGAAAGCCCGGGGCUCAACCCCGGGUCGGCCGCGGGUACUGCCGGGCUGGAGUGCCGUAGGGGCAGGCGGAAUUCCGGGUGUAGCGGUGGAAUGCGUAGAGAUCCGGAAGAACACCGGUGGCGAAGGCGGCCUGCUGGGCGGCGACUGACGCUGAGGCGCGACAGCGUGGGGAGCAAACAGG